GUGUCAGUAGCUCAAAGGCAGAGUGUCCGGUUUCCUACCCGGAAGAUGCGGGCUCAAAACCCGUCUGGCGCCCCA
rnacentral:tRNA from 1 species